UACGUAGGGGGGCUAGCGUUAUCCGGAUUUAUUGGGCGUAAAGAGCGUGUAGGCGGCCAGGUAGGUCCGGUGUGAAAACUCGAGGCUUAACCUCGAGAUGUCAUCGGAAACCAUCUGGCUAGAGUCCGGAAGAGGAAAGUGGAAUUCCUGGUGUAGCGGUGAAAAUGCGCAGAUAUCAGGAAGAACACCAAUGGCGAAAGCAGCUUUCUGGGACGGUACUGACGCUGAGACGCGAAAGCGUGGGGAGCGAACAGG
rnacentral:rRNA from 1 species